rnacentral:rRNA from 1 species
ACUGGGAUAACUCCGGGAAACCGGAGCUAAUACCGGAUAGUUCCUUGAACCGCAUGGUUCAAGGAUGAAAGACGGUUUCGGCUGUCACUUACAGAUGGACCCGCGGCGCAUUAGCUAGUUGGUGAGGUAACGGCUCACCAAGGCGACGAUGCGUAGCCGACCUGAGAGGGUGAUCGGCCACACUGGGACUGAGACACGGCCCAGACUCCUACGGGAGGCAGCAGUAGGGAAUCUUCCGCAAUGGACGAAAGUCUGACGGAGCAACGCCGCGUGAGUGAUGAAGGUUUUCGGAUCGUAAAGCUCUGUUGUUAGGGAAGAACAAGUGCAAGAGUAACUGCUUGCACCUUGACGGUACCUAACCAGAAAGCCACGGCUAACUACGUGCCAGCAGCCGCGGUAAUACGUAGGUGGCAAGCGUUGUCCGGAAUUAUUGGGCGUAAAGGGCUCGCAGGCGGUUUCUUAAGUCUGAUGUGAAAGCCCCCGGCUCAACCGGGGAGGGUCAUUGGAAACUGGGAAACUUGAGUGCAGAAGAGGAGAGUGGAAUUCCACGUGUAGCGGUGAAAUGCGUAGAGAUGUGGAGGAACACCAGUGGCGAAGGCGACUCUCUGGUCUGUAACUGACGCUGAGGAGCGAAAGCGUGGGGAGCGAACAGGAUUAGAUACCCUGGUAGUCCACGCCGUAAACGAUGAGUGCUAAGUGUUAGGGGGUUUCCGCCCCUUAGUGCUGCAGCUAACGCAUUAAGCACUCCGCCUGGGGAGUACGGUCGCAAGACUGAAACUCAAAGGAAUUGACGGGGGCCCGCACAAGCGGUGGAGCAUGUGGUUUAAUUCGAAGCAACGCGAAGAACCUUACCAGGUCUUGACAUCCUCUGACAACCCUAGAGAUAGGGCUUUCCCUUCGGGGACAGAGUGACAGGUGGUGCAUGGUUGUCGUCAGCUCGUGUCGUGAGAUGUUGGGUUAAGUCCCGCAACGAGCGCAACCCUUGAUCUUAGUUGCCAGCAUUCAGUUGGGCACUCUAAGGUGACUGCCGGUGACAAACCGGAGGAAGGUGGGGAUGACGUCAAAUCAUCAUGCCCCUUAUGACCUGGGCUACACACGUGCUACAAUGGACAGAACAAAGGGCUGCGAGACCGCAAGGUUUAGCCAAUCCCACAAAUCUGUUCUCAGUUCGGAUCGCAGUCUGCAACUCGACUGCGUGAAGGUNGAAUUAANNNUUAUCACGGUACAGCAUGACCCGGUCACNGUAAGUCGUAACAAGGUAGCCGUAAGU